CAAUGAACAUCUCAUAAUCAAGAAACAGUUUGUUCUAUGGACAUUGCCGUAUUUAUUAAAAGAUUGUGUUAAUGGUUGCUGAUUAUCCUGAAAUGAACGACAGAACUUACAUGGUAGUAAAUUCAUGACAAGUACAGUAGUAAUAAUUCUAAAGUAGGCUGAGGUAUUUAAUUAUUGUAAUAUAUAUUUAUGAAAAUUUUGCACAAAAUUUAAAUGCAGUAUAUUCCAUGUGUCAAAACUGCUUUUUAAGAACAUUAUUCUAUGA